rnacentral:rRNA from 1 species
UACGUAGGGGCUAGCGUUAUCCGGAUUUACUGGGCGUAAAGGGAGCGUAGGCGGACUUUUAAGUGAGAUGUGAAAUACCCGGGCUCAACUUGGGUGCUGCAUUUCAAACUGGAAGUCUAGAGUGCAGGAGAGGAGAAUGGAAUUCCUAGUGUAGCGGUGAAAUGCGUAGAGAUUAGGAAGAACACCAGUGGCGAAGGCGAUUCUCUGGACUGUAACUGACGCUGAGGCUCGAAAGCGUGGGGAGCAAACAGGAUUAGAUACCCGCGUAGU